GGUGGGAGCGCGAGAGAGUUUUUACUUAAACACAUAUUUCCUUAUUUUCUCGACGAUACAGCGAUUCCGUUUCCCAUUAUAUGAGCAUUAAUUUCCCCACUCUUAAACUCGCUUUAAUAAUAACGCUGGAACCAGAAUAAGCCCCUCUGUCCGAAAUGUAAGCGUAAUGCCUUAUAUAGACUCGGCGGCAGCCGGCAGGCAGGGCAGAGGCCCGCGGGCCGUUACCGCCCAUUAUUAUACAAACAGGUACAGAGGCGGCGACCGGAGCUGGGGGCACCUCACCCCAGGCGCUCUCCGCCGCCCCCGAGCUGAAAAGUCGCGUCCCUCUCGCCAGAAGAACUAUCCAGACAAUAAAAAUCAGCAGACAUUUCGCUGCUGAACAAGUGGCAGAGAAAGGACAGAAUCACCACCGAGAUAAGCAGAAAUACAAUCAACUUACAACGUCUCUCCAAACUGGAAAAGGCGACUGUGCAACAGCCACAUGUUUGGGGCUCUCUCUCUCUUUUUUUUUAACUCUCGCUCCAGGCAGAGGGGGUGUGUGUUUCCCCGACAAAUCAGCACAAAUCAAUAAACACUGCAGCUGCAGCAAGAGCAGCAGAAACGUACGUCUGUCGGUCCGUCUGCUCCCUCCCCCACUCUUCCUUUCCACCCGAGACCGAGAGCGCCAUCCAAGGUCUAUUAUCCGGCUUCAGUGCUCAGUGCGUCCGGCCCAGGUAACAACUUCCCCCAAAAACCGAAAGAGAAAAAAGAGAGGCGUACGCACAAAACCCCAUCCCAGCGCGGAGAAUAAGUCCUCACUGGGGUGGGGGGAUCUGUCUGUGGUGCUUCCCUGUCUCGAAGACCAGGUAACAACAACUCCACAAACACACCCCGGUGCCAAGCUAGCCGCCAUCCAGAGGUUUCCCAGGAAGCAGCAAAUUCAGCACUGCUUCUCCCUUCUUCUGGAGACACUUUGCUGCUUGGUUUCCCCCGGUGUGGGAAACGUAUCCUGAGUGCUACUGCUUGCCUCAGCCUGUGCGCACAGGCCAAUCCAGCCUGCAGGAUGCUGGCCAGGUAGUCACCGAGAAAUGGAUACAGCAUCAUGGAAAGGCAAAUAAUUUUAUCAAGAAUUAAAGACAUCACAAUGGGAAUCAAUGAGUCUAUCAAGACAGGAUGUGAAGGCAUCAGAAACUCUUAGAAAUGAACCAGUGGACACCAUCUGUAUUAAUGCGCUCCAAAGGUGCCAUCAAUCCUAUGUACAACGGAACAAAAGACUGCCCGGUCCUGCACCAUCCGCACAAUCGUUUCUAUGCUUGAGCCCAUUGCUGCGGCCACUGUGUCAGUCCAUCUCGUGGAGGGUCCUCCUCUCUUUUGCUGACCCUCUGCUUUACCCAGCAUGAAUUCUUUCUCCAGGGACAAGCACGUGAGAUGAAGUCUUGCCAUCCUCGCUUCUAAGGAGCAUUCUGGAUGUGCUUCUUGUCUCAGAAGAAAGCAUUAUAUAGUUGCCAUCUUUAAGAGUCAUUCCCUUUUCUGCUCUUUUUACAUUACCAACUUUAAUUUUAGGCAUUUAUAAUGUGUCAAGGACAAAGCUGGCAUAACAUGUUUUCUCUUGAUAUUUAAAAGAUAAAAGUUACAUGACAUUUUAAGAUUUAAAAUAUUUCUGCCAGGGUUAACAUUAUGCAUAAAUGAAAUCCAUUCAUUUAUUUAGUCAAUAUUCAUUCCAAUAAACAGCUACUGAAAGUUUGUUCAAUAUAAACCACUGAGCCAAGCAGUGGUAGGAUUACAAAGAUGAAUAAAAUAUAGCUCCUGCUUCAUGGGGAGUGCAUUUGUUAGGCUAAUUACUUAGCUGCUGUUAAUAAAGAGAUCUAAAGCUACAAUGGCUUAAGUAAGGUAGAAAUGUGCUUAUUUCCCCUGUAGCAUUCCAGAGGCAAGUGUGUCCCUGAGCAUAUAGAUUCUAAGACUGCUUCAGACAUAGUCAAAUUUCCCAGCUAGCAGGAAGGAGAAAUUCAGGACAAGCAAUCUGCUAUUAAGAUGAUGUGGGAAUCAAAUGUAUCAUUUCUCCUCUACAUCUCAUUGGAGCGAAUUUAUCCUCACAGUCACACCUGGGAAAUGCAUGUGAUUAAAAGGGCCCUGACAUUACACAUGCAAUAACAUGGAAGAAUCUCUAGAACAUUAUGUUAAGUGGAAGAAGUCCAUUACAAAAGAUUACAUACUGUAUAUUUCCAUGUAUGUGAAACUUUGGAACAGGCAAAACUAUAGUGCUAGCAGAUCAGUGAUUGCCUGGGCCAGGGUUCUAGGAGGUGCUAAACUUGCAAAGAGGCACUAAGAAACAUUUUGGAGUGAUGAAAAUAUUCUAGAUCUUGAUUGUGGUUACAUGACUGUAUACAGUUACCAAAAUUCAUCAAGCUCUAUGCCAAAAGUGAGUUAAUUAUUGUUGUUGCUAUUGUGAUUAUUACCUUGAGUGGAGCUGGUAAAACUUUAAGGGAGUAAAAAAAAUCACUGGUUAAAAUUGGAAUUCUUGAGCCAAGAAACUAAUGUUGCUUUAUAUGGUUUGGAUUGCUUUUCAAGGAAAAAAAAAAGUUGGCAAGUACAUUUGUUCAUUGAGGUAGUUAGUAAUGACUGUUACACAAACAGCCCUGAAGCUCAGGAGCUAACUGAGAAAUAAACACAAUAAAAUAUUUAUUUUUCAUUCAAGUCACAGUCCUAUGGGGUGAUGGUUGGGGCAGCUUUCCUAGGUUGCUCUCCUUCUAGCAGCAACUAGAGAUCUAGCCUGUUCAUCUAGUGGAUCCAUUCCCUUCUGGGGCCUUGGAGUCCUUUGGGAUCUUGAAAUCAUCUGCUAGAUCCUCUGCAGCCAGCUGGCCAAUGAAAGGGGGAAGGUGAGCACAGGGUCUCUGAUGAGAUUUCAGGGGCCAGGUCUGGAAGUGGCACACAUCACUAUUGCCCAUAUUGCAAUGGCCAGAAGGAGUCACAUGACCACACCUAAAUGAACACCUGGAAAUGUAGUCUUCUCGUGUGUCCAGAAAGAGAAUGAAAUGAUUUGUGAACCUGUACCAUUGUGCCUGCCAAAAGAUUAUAAAGAAGCAGAAAAAAAUUGUUAUCAAUCCCAGUCUGGAAACAACAGCUAUUAAGAGAGUCUGAUAUAUUUUUUUUUGGAAGAAAAUCCUGGUGAUCUGCUUCCACUAAAUCAGCCAGUGAAAACUCUGUGGAUCGCAAUUGCCCAGUCCACAAUCGAUCGUGGGGAUGGUGCAAGAUGGGGAACGUUUAGUUCUGUUGUGCAUGGGGUCAACAUGAGUCAGGGUCAGCUCGUAGCAGCUAAUGACAGCAACAUUUUCUUCUCAUCUUUUUAUCUAUGCAUUAAAAUUUUAACAUUCAGGGAUUAUGUAUCUAAUUUUUAUACUUAUUUUUCAAUAAAUAUUAUUAUGUAAAACUUUAUUAUUUAAAAGUUCAAAUCCUAUUUUGCAACAUACUAAUUGAGUGAAUAUGGGAAAGUUUCUAGGGCUCAGGAUUUUGUUUUGUUUUUUCCAAUUUUAUGAAAUGACCUAAAUGAUCCCUACCAAACAAGGCUAGCCUAAGGAUUAAAUGAGAUAGUUCAUGUAGAAUAUACAGCAUAGGGUCUGACACAUAGUGGAGCCCUGGUGGUACAGUGGUUAAGAGCUACUGUGAGCUAUGGCUGCUAACCAAAAUGUCAGGAGUUUGAAUCCAUAGCUGCUCCUUGGAAACCCUAUGGGGCAAUUCUACUCUGUCCUAUAGGGCCACUAUGAGUCAGAAUCAACUCGACUGCAACGGGUUUGGUUUUUUUGGUUUUGACACAUAGUAGGCAGCUAAUCCUGAGUUUUCCUUGCAUGAAGAGCAUACUGAUUUAAUCAUUGUAACUCCAUAAUAUGUUUUAAUAUUUGCUUGGGCUAGUCCUUUAUCAGACUCCUUUUAAUAAAGGAAUUACACACUGUUUUUGAUAGUUUAUUCUUCCAGGUGAACUACAGAGCCAUUUGUUUUCUGUGAAAAGUGUGUCUUAGCCUGGCUUCUCCAGAAAGCAGAGGCCAAGACAAAGGAUUUAUGCUUAUUAGGGAGUCCAGCCCUAGGGAACAUCAUGAGGGACAAGGGUAAUGAAGCAGGGAAGGAGAGAGAGCCAAUAGAAGAAGGUGUCAUCUAGCUGGCUGUUGCUCUGGGUAACUGUUCAAUCCUACAGGCUCUCCUCUGAGAAGUUAUAGAGAGAGUAUCUUAGUCAUCUAG